UACCCCCGGGCUGUGGACAGCUCAAUUAACUUCAUUUCAAAACCCAAUUUAUUCAUCCUAAAAGGCAUAUCUCCUUUAUAGUGCACUGCUGUUGACCAGAGUCCUAUGGGUCCUGGUCAAAAUUUGCGCACUACAUAGGGAAUAGGGUGCAAUUUGUAAUACAGGCCAAGGGAGGGUAAAGUUACCCUUUUUAUAAUGGUCAAGUGUUGCAAUGCUCUCUAGUACUGCUGGGUGAAAUGAACAGUGCAUUUGAUAAACAAAAACAUUGAUUGGUUGCAUCAAAAGCAUUAAAGCAACAUGGGCUUCCUUGAAUUGCAAAUUAGCAUCUUCUACUGAGUCAUAUUGUCUGGUCUGUGUACUCUGGCGGAACUAGUGUUAGGUUGUAGUAGUAGGGGGGUAUAUCAUCUAGGACUGUUCAUCCAUGCCUUGUGUUUUGCAUAGCAAGCCGUUCACUAGGCGAGGAGAGUUUUUUUCCACCUCAAUACAGUUUCUAUCUUUGGAAUGGAGAAAAUUGAGUCAAUUAUACUUUAACACAAAUUUAAGUCUCAUUGAACUUGGUGUUUAUCAAUUCGUGUUCAUGGGAGGGAAAACAUUUUGGUUACAUUUGAAUUUGAAACGAUUACAUUUACAUUUUAGUCAUUCAGCGGACGCUCUUAUCCAGAGCGACUUACAAGUAGUGCAUUCAUCUUAAGAUGGUUGGGUGAGACAACCACAUAUCGGUCAUAACUAUUUUGAGGGAUAAUGUACUUGCUAUCAGUGAAGUCAGUUCUUUUUUUAUUUGUUGGGGUUUGCCGUUAACUUAAAAUUUAACAAUGUUUACUUCACCGUAUUUCCACAGUACAUAGUCACAUUCACACUCCAGCCAGGUCCAUCUCCAGUGAGACUACGGAGCAGGCGUACUAAUAACAGAGUGAUAGCACCGUAAUAACAGAAAUAUAGGGUUAUAGUUAAAACAUGAACUUACCAAUCUCCCACAAAUAAAACAUCAACAAAAUAAUUAAAUGUCCCAAGUAUUAUUUAAGUUGGGUUGUGUAACAGUUUUUAUUUUUAUUACUCAAGCUGCCACUUUCCAUUACUGGGUGCCUUUAGGAGCACAAGACCGUAUGCUCCCUUUUUAGUCAGGCAGUCAGACAGCUGCUCCUUUGUGGCCAACCUGGAAAACAGCUUUGAGGUGUGGAAUCACAGUCGUAGCAAAGGCCUGUGAGCCUCCCCCAGAUGAAGCCAUCGACAUGACUGUACAGCCCCUGCCUUCUUGAGGGAAGCUUUGCUCAAAACUUCUUAUGGGUUGGGCGCAGUAUUUCGACAUCUGGAUGAGAAGCGUGCCCAAAGUAAACUGCCUUUUACUCAGGCCCAGAAGCUAGGAUAUGCAUAUAAUUAGUAGAUUUCAAUAGAAAACACUCUAAAGUUUCCAAAACUGUUAAAAUGUCUGAGUAUAAUUGAACUGAUAUGGCAGGUGAAAACCUGAGGAAAAUCCAUCCAGGAAGUGUUAUUUUUUAUGUGGGUAUUUUCAAUUGAAUGCUUAGAGCUGGCUGGUGUGUUUACGGACUUAUUCAAUGGCCCAUAUACUUACUUUCCACCAUAAUUUGCAAAUAAAUUCAUUAAAAAUC